GUAGUUUAUUGGCGGUAGUUGCUACAUAAUUAAUGUCUGUUGGGCUAUAUAUAAUAAAUCCAUGCGUUUUUUGGGCGAUUAAUGUAGACCUUUUUUUAUUCAAUGGCAACUGAGCAGCGAGUAGUAACACAAGUGAUGAAGACUAAAGAAUUCCUCAACUGAGCAGUGAGUCAACAACCAGAGUGUGAUUCUUGGGAAGCUAACAUGGGCAUGGAGAUAGAAGGUGAUGGGGGUGCUUGCAUAUCUUCAACCUGAUCUGGAAGCAGAUCUCGUCUUGCCUCCGGCACCAGCUAGCAGAGUCGACAACCAUGUAAUUUCUAGUCUCAGUUAUCACUGAAGAAUAAAUUCACUUACAUUGCUAGAAUUCCUUGGAAAUGGAUGUUGUAUUUCAUGAGUAACUGAUCAAAAUAAUUCUAUUGACACCGCUUUUACAGGUUCCAACUAGUAUGGUGUUAGAAUUGUAUGAUGCAUGAUUCGAUUCAUACAAUUUAAUAUGAGUUUCAACCAAAAUUAUUUGAAUUGUGUUGUUUGAAAAUUGGGUGUGCUGUUGAAUUGAGAAUUGAGUAGUUCAUAGGUUUUUGUUUCCAUAAUGUAUUGAAAGGACGCCUUUUUCAACUACUCUAUGAUGAAACAAAAAUAGGGCAAUUGGUUAUACUGAUAUACGUGGUGUUAUAUAUAUAUAUAUAGGUAAUAUAUAAUUUAUUUAUAUUGAUCCUGUGAAGUAUUUGAUUGCGAUUGCUAUAGUGUUCUAACAUAUGUGUGAGGUUUGGAAAUUCCUUUCCAAUAAUUUGGGCUAUAUUUCAAGAUAAGCAUCCGGUGGAUCUUGUAUGAGAAGGGAAAAAGAAAUGGAAGGAAAAGUGGGAAAAAAAAACUUUGUUAAUAGUUUCAUGUGGAAAAAAACAUGCAAAGAGUGAACUGCUAAUACAUGUAUUAUCUUAUGCAAUUUUAUCUCUUCUUUUGUAGAGAUUUUGUUGGAAUUUUGUGUUUCAUUUGUUGUGGCGUGUUGUAGAAACUAAAAACACCCUUUUUGUAGUUUUUAGAUAAUUAGCGAUCGACGAUUCCAACUUCCUUUACUCCAUUCAAAAAGUUGUUCAAAAUUAUUGAUUAAAAUUUCCAAUGAUCCGGUUUGUGCAUGUUAUUCAAAAUAAUGUUACUUUUAGGAGUUGUUAGUUUUUCGUUUGUAUUUUUUUUCCUUUCUGUUUUUUGGCGCUAACCCCUUGCAGGCAAUGGCACAUAUAGACAUGGUUAAUCAUUUAAGGUAAUCUCCUUAACUUUUUGAUUUUAUUUUUUACAUUCAGGACAAUGCAUUGUUUAGUUUGGGGGGAGAAAAUACUUAUUUUGAGAAGAAUUUAUAUAUUUGCUUGCAGCUAUGAGUUAGUUAUUUUGUUAAAAAAAAAUAAAAAUUUAGUGCUCAUGGUAUUCUUUUGUUCUAUACAUUGAGUGAUUGGGCAUACUUGUGGUAUUUAAUUGCUUUAACUCAAGAAUUGUGUUGAAGUUUGAUAUGCUAGCUACUUUGUUAAAGUAUUACGUGUGUUCAUAUUUGGAAAUCAUUGCACUGCACUUCAGCCACAUAAAUAUGAUUUUUAGUUGAUAAGUGGGUAUGACUUGAAAAUCUUGAGGAAUGAUAGUGGAGACUUUUAACCCUGUGAGUUUUGUGCCAAUCAUUUAUUGGAGGGUCAUUAUACAUCUACUCUUAAUUUUUCUUUGGAAGCGCAUUAAUUUGUUGAUUAGUCUCAUUAUUUUUUCAUUUUUGGUUGAAUGCUGAGAACAAAUCAAUUUGUUAUCACACUUUUUACUCCCUCGAGGAUGAUGCAUCGUUUGGGUUGGGCUGAGAAAAUACUUAUUUUGGGAAGAAUUUAUAUGUUUGCUUGCUACAAUGAGUUUGUUGUUUUGUUUAAAAAAAGAAAAAAAGGUGUGCAUGGUAUUGUAUUGUUCUAUGCAUUGAGUGAUUCGGCAUACUUGUAGUAUUUUAUUGCUUUAACUUGAGAAAUUGUGUUGAAGUUUGGUAUGCUAGCUACUUUGUUAAAGUAUUUCAUGUGUUCGUAUUUGGAAAUAAUUGCACUGCACUUUAGCCACAUGAAUAUAAUUUUUAGUUGAUCAGUGGAUAUGACUUGAAAAUCUUGAAGAAUGAUAGUGGUGACUUUUAACCCUGUGAGUUUUGUGCCAAUCAUUUAUUGGCGGGUUACUAUACAUCUACUCUUAAUUUUCUUUGGAAGGACAUUAAUUUGUUGGUUAGUCUCAUUAUUUCUUCAUUUUGGUUGAAUGCUGAGAAUAAAUCAAUUUGUUAUGACACUUUUAUUCCCUUGAGAUCAUGAAAGUUGAAGGACCAUACUAAUUCUUGAGAGAUGAUUUUAGGCCAUCUUUGUUUCUUUGAGCCUUUAAUUUAUUUUUCUUUCUUUUAUUAUUACUUCAUGAACCAUUAGAAACCAAUUUGAGCCUUUAUGUUAGCCUUUCUUUGUUUAACCCCACAACCCAUACUUUCUUUUUACUUUUGUAGAUAUGUUGGGAUUAUUUGAGUUUGACAAUGGCAAAUUUGUUUGGAAAAAAAAAAG